UUCUUCAUGGUGACUGCAGUUCCCCUACAAAUUAAAAAAAUUGGGAUGAACACCAGUCACACUGAUAAAGAAAGCUAGAGUUACUUAUGCCUUUUGCGGAGAAGUUCAAAACAGUAUCCAAAGAAGUCAUGUCAUUUAGCAUUCAUAAUCAUAUAUAAGAACCAAAGUCAGGCCUUUCAGGUUUUCUAGCAUCUAAG